rnacentral:lncRNA from 1 species
AUAUGCUUUUAGAUGUAUAAUUUGAGUUCUACUAUAGGAUGUAUUAUAUUGGCUACUGCUUAUAUACAUGCACUGGUCCUCUUGCGGUUUCAACAAUAUUUAAGAUGUUGAAAACAAGCAAUUAACAGAUCUAAUGAAGAGUACAUGGUUGUGGGAGAUUAUGUACCUGCAGAUUAGGAUGAGGACAUUAUGUUUGUGCGAGAUGGUACGUCCAUGUUGAACAAAGGGAUACUUGUGAAAUAUUAUAAUAAACUUGCAAAGAUGAACGAACAAAAAUGUGAACUAUAUUCACUUAAAAAAUUUGAAAGGAAAGAAUUGCCAUUGUUCGUUGAUUUAGACUAGGAACCGACUAUUCAACCUAAAGAGAUGUCAAUUAUUGAAAAAUAGCAUCGAGAGGAAGAAAGAUUAAUUACAAAGGGAUCAAACGAAUAAGUAGCAAUCAAUAAAGAUGAAAUUAAUACACAUUCUUUCGACUUCAUCGUAGCCCAAAAUUGAAUUUAUGAUUAAGUCAGAGGAAAAAAUAAGUCUACAUAAUUGAUUUCGAAUCGAGUGAAAUAGGCAAGUCAUAUCACAUUAAAGGAAGCAAUGUUAAAUUUAGGAG